rnacentral:lncRNA from 1 species
CUCGUCAUAUGUCCAUUGCGCAUAGUUUGUCAUUCAUCAAAACCUACAAAUAUGAACACACGUUUUAGUAUAGUGCCUUGAGAACAUGUUUCAACAGGAUUUGGGUCACGUAAAAAUGCACCCGAGUUUAAGAAGGUAAAUUAUUACAAAUGUGGCUAAAGCAUCUUUGGGGAGGGCCAUGAAAUUCAUUAAACGGCAUAACCCGAAUUCUAAGUAUUUUAUUAAGCAUUGGAAUGAGGGUCCCGCAGUUUUCAUUUUAUUUGGCGAGGCUCAUCUCAUCAUUUUUUAUUUAAAGGCCAAUCCUAAAAUAACUAUGAUUUUGCUAUAUAUUUCUUUUAUCUCUAAAAAUAAAGAAAAUGACUUAAUUAAUUUAACAAAUCCAUGGAUCUUUACUACGAUUUCCAGAAAGGAUUGAACUUAAAAUCCAAGAUUUCAAGAGGCUUCAGCAUUUGGGCUUUAUUAAUGACCCCACACCAUUUACUUGUGCCUGCGUAAAAAAAAGGAGGGACUAUCCAGACGUGGGCCACAUUCAACGAGAAACAGGCCCACAUUUGCAUGUACUGGAGAGUCUUGUAAAUGUCUCCAUGAAUCAAGCAAUUAUUUUGUUUGUUUAUUUCAUAUUUAUUCCAUUUAACCAAUUAGAUCUACCUCAUACAUUCUUAACAAUGACAAGUUGACAUGGAAAAUAUAGUAAUGGAAACUACAUCUACAUGAGAAUUUCAGCUAACACCUUGUUCAAUUGAAAUUUCAUACUCAUUUGUAGCCUGAUUUUAACUAAAGCUCAAUUUAAUCAUGCAAAAACUGAAAUGAAUUAUAUUCACACAGUCCACUACUUGAGGGUAACAGUUCGAAACUCAGUUACCACACAAGCAAUGCAUAUCACAGAUUUUGAAUUAGUUCCUAGCUCAAAUUAUUUCCUGGUGCCGAACAUUUAAACAACAAACUAAACUAAUCACAGUUCAAACCCUUGCAGACUAACAGUACAUGGUAAUUUAACACAAUCCUAGUUUAAAUCAGUAUCCAAACAUGGAAAUUGAUCCUAAUUAGACAGCUUCUCUUCAUUAGAGUUUGAACGAACUAAAACUACAAGAAUACAAAAUUGUUUGUUUAGCACUGAAUACAUGAACAUAGAUCUGAACAUCCAUUCAUUUGAAUCCAAUUUCUGAUAUGGAAAUAGAAAUAGAGUAGAAGAGGUCAGUCACAGUAACAGUUUCGAGCAACAACAAUAGUAUUCAAUUCCCAGCAAUAGCGCAAUGAACAAGUCCAAGUAAUAAACCCAGAAAUCCGAAAAUGUUUAAAACCAGGCAGAAAUAACAACACUGACUCAACAACAGCCUGAAUAACCCAAAACCACUUGAAAAACCAACCAGGGAACUUCUAAAACCCUCUCAACCAGAAAUCAAACUUGACAUGCAAAUCAACAACUGGAAUUCUAACUUUGAUCUCAAGAGCACUAAUGCAAUAGUAGAUUUCCUAUUUUUGUUUUGUAUUUUUCUUUUUUUGUAUUUUCUGAGAGAACUAAGAGCUGAAAGAUUUUAUGACUUGAAAUCUCAACUAGGGGAGUGUUUUUUGGGAAUUUUUAUGGCUGAAUGGAAGCCCCUCAACAAGGUAUUUGUGAUGCCUUUUAUUGGCAACAAAGAAGUAACCGCAGAAUUUCAGUUUUUCUUUUAGUCCCUGUGCAUUUUCAAUUUAGUCCCUCAUUCUUGAGAUUUGUUAGACAAGUUAGUACCCUAAGUUUAUUAAAAUCUGACUUAUGUCCUAUGAAAGAAAGAUCUAGGAAAUCCUAAUUAUUUCUGCAGCAUUCCUAAAACAAAACCUAUUCAACUAAUUAAUAACAUAAUAGAACUAAUUAUUGAGUAACUACUGAAUUACUGUUUUCAAACACAUACUCUCAUACUGAAAAUUUAAUCAAUCCUAAAAUAAUUACAUCAUAGAUGAAUUGAAUCUAAUUUUAAACUAAUCAUUCAAAAUAAUCAGAGUUAACCCAUACUUAAAGUUAAAUUAAGAAAACUCAUACUUUAACUAACUCUUAUAGAUUUAAACUAACCAAACAAAACCGAAACUUACAUAAAUCCAUUAACUAAACUUUGAUCAAUUGUGCUAACAGAAGCAAGAAGAAAAAGAACUGCAUCAGAAUUGACCUAACUAAAAUUAGAAAUACCAUAGAAACAGAGAAGACUAAUUAAACCAGACCCACGACACCUAAUUAAUUAAAAGAAAUACUAAGAAAACUAAAGGGGCUCACCAGCCGUUUAUUUUCAAAUUCCAGCCUCGGAUGAAUCUAGUGGGAUUUGCAUACAAUGACUGGAAUUCUUCAUGGGGAAGGUCCCAGGAUCAUGUGGUAUCAAUUUGGAGAGGCUUGGGACAACUAGGAUUUUGGACGGAAAACCUUCAAUUUGAUAUUCGAGGAAUUUCAGUCAUAUUCGAAGGGUGUGGUUUUGGGGAUUCGACAGAGGAAGCCAAGACGUUCUUGGGGUGUUAUUUUGGUGUGAUUUGGACGGAGUUGUGUCAUGACCAAAAGGUUUUGAACGGAUAUUCGACGAGUUCCAGUAAGAUUUGAAAGAAAAGGACAAUGGAUUCAUAUAGAGGAGGAGAAGGGGAAUCUAGGGUACAUUUUUUGGAGGCAACGGAAAUGGUGGCGUCCGCCGGCAGCUAUAUCUAAAUGUAACAAUCAAUUGUGG